rnacentral:lncRNA from 1 species
UUGGUCAUCAGCAUAUGGGGGCUGUGUUCCACCAAGGGAAAAGUUCGAAUGCAAGUACUAGUGAGUUCCAUGGGAGGGACUUGAUCAUGCAGAGGUAUGAUCGAAGCAGCUGGAGAGUUGGACUGCUCCAGAGCUCAUAUUCGCUUAAGGGAGCCCGGCAAGUCAGAGGACAAGGUCGAGUAAGCGAACGUUGCUACCAAGGAAGCUAAGGAGAACAGAAUCGGUGCA